GACGAACGCUGGCGGCGUGCUUAACACAUGCAAGUCGAACGGUAAGGCUCCAGCUUGCUGGGGUACACGAGUGGCGAACGGGUGAGUAACACGUGGGUGACCUGCCCUGCACUUCGGGAUAAGCCUGGGAAACUGGGUCUAAUACCGGAUAGGACCGCACCGUGAGGGUGUGGUGGAAAGUUUUUUCGGUGUGGGAUGGGCCCGCGGCCUAUCAGCUUGUUGGUGGGGUAAUGGCCUACCAAGGCGGCGACGGGUAGCCGGCCUGAGAGGGUGGACGGCCACAUUGGGACUGAGACACGGCCCAGACUCCUACGGGAGGCAGCAGUGGGGAAUAUUGCACAAUGGGCGGAAGCCUGAUGCAGCGACGCCGCGUGGGGGAUGACGGCCUUCGGGUUGUAAACUCCUUUCACCAUCGACGAGGGGUUUCUGACGGUAGAUGGAGAAGAAGCACCGGCUAACUACGUGCCAGCAGCCGCGGUAAUACGUAGGGUGCGAGCGUUGUCCGGAAUUACUGGGCGUAAAGAGCUCGUAGGUGGUUUGUCGCGUCGUCUGUGAAAUUCCGGGGCUUAACUCCGGGCGUGCAGGCGAUACGGGCAUAACUUGAGUACUGUAGGGGAGACUGGAAUUCCUGGUGUAGCGGUGAAAUGCGCAGAUAUCAGGAGGAACACCGGUGGCGAAGGCGGGUCUCUGGGCAGUAACUGACGCUGAGGAGCGAAAGCAUGGGGAGCGAACAGGAUUAGAUACCCUGGUAGUCCAUGCCGUAAACGGUGGGCGCUAGGUGUGGGUUUCCUUCCACGGGAUCCGUGCCGUAGCUAACGCAUUAAGCGCCCCGCCUGGGGAGUACGGCCGCAAGGCUAAAACUCAAAGGAAUUGACGGGGGCCCGCACAAGCGGCGGAGCAUGUGGAUUAAUUCGAUGCAACGCGAAGAACCUUACCUGGGCUUGACAUAUACAGGAUCGCGCCAGAGAUGGUGUUUCCCUUGUGGCUUGUAUACAGGUGGUGCAUGGUUGUCGUCAGCUCGUGUCGUGAGAUGUUGGGUUAAGUCCCGCAACGAGCGCAACCCUUGUCUUAUGUUGCCAGCACGUUGUGGUGGGGACUCGUAAGAAACUGCCGGGGUUAACUCGGAGGAAGGUGGGGAUGACGUCAAAUCAUCAUGCCCCUUAUGUCCAGGGCUUCACACAUGCUACAAUGGUCGGUACAGUGGGUUGCCAGUCCGUGAGGGCGAGCUAAUCCCGCAAAGCCGGUCUCAGUUCGGAUCGGGGUCUGCAACUCGACCCCGUGAAGUCGGAGUCGCUAGUAAUCGCAGAUCAGCAACGCUGCGGUGAAUACGUUCCCGGGCCU
rnacentral:rRNA from 1 species